ACUAGUAAUACUGAACUGAAUGUUCCCACAUAAAAGCAAACAAUAAUUAUUUUUGGGUUGUUUGAUUUAAGUAUCAUCAACCAUCACCGUUAUCCAGGAGAUACCACGAGGCGGAAAGCACUCUUUUAAAAAAUGCGUUUGUUUGUAUUGUUUAAACACUCGGGUUUUUUUAUGUUUAAUAAUUUUUAAAAAUUGUGUUGAAUAUUAUGAAGUGGCGGAUGGACAUUUUUGUAAUUAAACAUUUUAAACGACAUCAUCUGUAAAUUUACACAUAGACAUUCUGCAAGUUCCGUAAAAAUUGUUCUUUGUCUGUUAAAAAACUGUUAAAACAUUAUAAAGUUCAGAGAGUCAGUUCAGAUUCUGAGUAUAGCAAGAAUUGUAUUGGUUU